CAAGGUCGCAAAAGCAGCCCCGGCCCAUCGCCUACAUUUUUGGCAGCUGAGGCCUGCAAACAGAGGCUGGUGGACGGCUGGGCUUUCAGUACUCGGACACCUCCAGGAAUAUAAAAGAAUAUGUCCUGAAACGGAAAUAUUUGAAAAUGUGGAUCAAAAGAAGACUCUCUGUAUGAAGACAAAAAAUGACAGCAAGAUUGUCAUCUAAGUACAUACAGAUGUUCCAGGUCCCUUUGGAUUGCAUUAUGACAGAGGACAGAGGAGAUAACAUAGCCUUGGGGCAAGACCAUGGAACCGUGUAAGGACAGACUGUCUCAAGAAAAUGCAAACUGUUUAUGAUCCUGCUUUCAAGUAGU